CGAACGUGGUCUUCAGCUCUGCAGAGCUGACAUGGUUAACUUAGAAAUUCACGUGUGAUGUCCAAGCUUGGAUGCUUGCUUUGGAAAUAUGGCAUAUUUGUGGGCUCUUGGCAUCUAUGAUUUUUCUUCCAAAGCUCCUUGGUGACCAAAUUCAUGGCUUCCUCUCCUUGAGUCAAUUUCUAAACAAGGUCCAGGCUCUCAGACCCCUGCUAGGAUGAAUCAUAGAAAGAUCAAUAUGGUAUAAAAAAUUCCUGACUAAUCUCACGGACACACACACAGAACAGUUCACCAGCCAGCACAGUUGUUACACAUGUCCUGGCUGCUUCCUGAAGAUGGAAGCAGAGGUUGGAGUGAUGUGGCCUCAAGCCAAUGCAUGCUGGCAGCCACCAGAAGCUGGAAGAGACAAGGAACGGAUUUUGCCCUAGAGUUUCUGGAGGAGGUGUGGACCUGCCUACCACCUGGAUCUCAGAUUUCUAGUCUCUAGAACUGCAAGAGAAUGAAGUUCUGCAGUAGCCCUAGGCAACUAGUACAUGCACAAACCAACAGGUACAGCUCAGUGGAUUAUCAGAAAAGCGAAUACUUAUGACCACCGUCUAAUCAAGAAAGAUUACCAAUACCCUAUAGGCCCCCUCAUUCUUGUCCUGACCACAACCUUCUCCAUCCUCCCUACAUGUAAGCACUAUCCUGAUUUCUAUAAUCAUAGUUCAUCUAUAGCUGCUUUGAACUUUGAAUAAAUAAUAAUUCAGACUGCAGUUUCUUUGCAUGGCUUUCCCCUCUCAGUAUUAUAUUGUGUAUUAUACUGUGAGUUUGUCCGUGUUGCUGUGAUUCGCUAUAGUUUGUUCAUUUUCAUUACAGAAUGUUAUUUUACUGUAUGGCUAUACCACAAUUUAUUUAUCUGUUAUACUAUGAAGGGGACAUGUGAGUUGUUUCCAGUUUUAGGCCAUUGUAAACAAUGCUGCUAUGAACAUUCUUCUACAUUGUUCGUAUGCACACAUCUUCCUUGCUUCCUUCCUCCUUUUCUUCCUGUUUAUUCUCAGGUGUAAUUGCUGGGUGUGCAUAUGUUUAACGUUAGUAGAUAAUGUCAAACAACACUGCUGUGUGGGGUUCCUGAAACAUCACAUCCUCUCCAGAAUUUGGUAUUGUUAGACUUUUACUUUCAGGUUUUUAAAUUCUAUUUUCACUGCACUGUUGAGGAUGUAAAUGCAUCUCGUGUAUCUUUUUUUAAAAAAUACAAACUUUUAUAUUAAAGAAUAAAAUACAUAGAAAAAAGUACAA
ensembl:lncRNA